GGUGAUAUAGCUCAGUUGGUAGAGUGCUUGCCUCAUUAUGCACAAGGCCCUGGGUUCAAUACCCAGCAUCACAU
rnacentral:tRNA from 1 species